AUGACAGCUUCAAAGUUAUUAGUGCUAGGAGCGGGCAUGACCAAGAGGAAUCAUGACCUGGGCAUUUGGAUGACGAAUUUGUUGAACUCCUGGUUUGAUCCGUGGGAAGCACAUCAGAUUGCUUGCAUCCCUAUCUCGAGGAGUAGCCUAGUAGACAAGCUGGUGUGGCACUGGGAAAAAGAUGGCGAGUACUCCGUGCGAUCCGCAUAUCAUCUCCUAAGAGCCAAGCGUGAGGCUCUCAAGGAGGGACCCUCAAGCCCUCUUUAUUCUUCUCUGUGGAAGAAACUCUGGAAGGCUCCGGUUCAUGUGCGUAUCAGAAAUUUUCUUUGA